AAGAGGAGCUGAUGGGGAAUGUACUGUGUAUGCUUAUCUUAUUGAUUGUUAAAUAAAAUACUGUUUGGCCAAUGAGACAGCAAGUUAGACAGGACUAGGAGUCAAAGAGGAUGCUGGGAAAUGGAGUAGAUAAGUGGUGAUCCAGGCAGGAAGUGACAUAGCAAGGAGACUCAUAUCUAAGCGAGGAAACAGGAAGUGGCCCUUUUCCCGUUCGCCUCCUCCAGCAGCAGGAUGUGAUCCACCGGCAAGGAGGGACGCCAAUAAGGUGUCUGAUAAGAUAAGUCUUAUAACAUAUAUAGAUUUAUGAUAAUUAAGACUGAGCUAACAGAUGAGAAUCCUAGUCAUUGGCCAAGCUGAGAUGAUACAGCCUUACAGACUACAAAAACAAGGAUGCGGUCAGGUUUCUGUUUUAUUAUGAUCCCUAUGGUAUAAACAUCGCCCCCAAUCAGCAGGAAGCAGUUUAGAAAGAACGACACCCAUAUUCCCAAAUAGUGUUUAUAAAUGUUUGUUUUCAUUUAAAUGGGGUUAGUUAUGGAUGAUAAUGAGCGUAGUCAGUCUCUUUUUAAAUAAAGAAAAGGGGGAAUUGGAUAUAGGAAUGAAUACUUUGCAUUGGUAUAGAUUUUCACUUAUUGAUACAACUUUAAAGUCAAUUUUGUGAUAUGUAUAUGUCUCCUCUUACUUAGGUAUUGUGUUUAUACAGAUCUUUUACCUAUAAUAGUCAGAACUUAUAAUUAGGUUAGUUAGGUUUUCUAGAUAUACAGAGAUGUAUUUGAGAUGGAUAGGUAUUCUUCAAACUUUUCAAAGACCUACAGAAAUAUGGCAUUUAAAUGGUUUAGGGUUUUUCUUGGCAGUAAGACACAACUGCUCCUGGCACACCAAUUACGUCAGAAAGGAAGGUGGACAUUGAAGAAACUUGUUAUGGAGUUUGCUUUCAACAUGGCAAGAUUAGCCAUUUGGGCAAGAAACUGCUCUUUCCUGGACUGUUUGUUGCUGUAUAAACUGGACAUACAGGACCCAUAAGAAAGUGACUGCUGAACUUACAAAACAAGACAGUACUGAAGGGUUCCUGUUGAAAUGGAAAAGUGUGCCAGACACACUGUGGCCUAUGGGCUGAAGAUGGAUGCCCCAACGUUACAGAGGAACUUUGGGUGACUGUCCAGGAGGAGGGCUCCCAUACACCAAGACCACGACAUCUUGCUUUCCUCCUGAGCUGCCCAAUGGAUAACAUUUAGUUUAAUGUAACUCACAACAAACAACCCGUGGCUGGUGCAUGCGUGCGGACUCCCUCCUGUGGUAUGAAGCACAAGUGUGUCCCCGUGAUAUAUAAUACAAAGCUCUGCUAUCAAAACCAGCUCCAGGUUAUAAGAUUCCUGUUGGGCACAACUCUGAUAUCUGCAUCCCUCCAGCAUUUAUGGUCUCCUCUCCACCAGUUUGGUGGCCGCCAUUGUGCCUGACUGAUCACUCAUGCAGGCUCUUCUUUCUUGUGCAUCAGCUUUGAGCUCAGGGACCACUCCAGGAGAUGGAGCCCAAACCUGACGCUGCUUGGGUGGCCAGGAACCAGAGACUACAUAGAGAUGCCAGGUAAAAUCAAAUGAUACUAGUCAAAAAAGUAACAAUAAAAUGAGCCCUAAUGAUAUUCUGCAACUUCCACCUACAGCAGAUGGACCAACUACGGAGGGUGAUCCACAGCCAGCUAAUACACAAAGUGAGAGGCCCUGAGACACACAACUCUUAACAAGCUGUCUCCAUCAAAUCCCUCCCUUCAGAACUCAGGGAACCCCUCAGAAGGGGAGACAGACAGUGAGGAUGGAAGACACCAGGAGAACAAGGACCUCUAAAACAUCAGAGCAAAGCUCAUAUGAACUCACAGAGACUGAAGCAGCAAUCAUGGGAUCUACACAGGUCUGCACCAGGUCCUCUGCAUAUAUAUUCAUCAGUUUAGUACUUUAUUCUCUUGGAGCGCUUUUAUUUUUCUGUUAGCUUGUCUUAUCCAACUUUUAUACGAUGUUUUUUUUUUUGUUUUAUCUUACUGUAUUUUAUUUUGUUGAAAUACUUUAAAAAAAUGUGUUUAAGCUACAUUUAGAAUUCAGGAAAAGUAAUCUCACAGCUUACUUGCCCUCGUUUUUUUGAUUCAACUAAGCUUUUAAGCUGAAUAAAUUAAAGUCUCUAAGGA
ensembl:lncRNA